rnacentral:rRNA from 1 species
GACGAACGCUGGCGGCGUGCCUAAUACAUGCAAGUCGAGCGCAGGAAACUGACGGAACUCUUCAGAGGGAAGGCAGCGGAAUGAGCGGCGGACGGGUGAGUAACACGUAAGGAACCUGCCUCAAGGAUUGGGAUAACUCCGAGAAAUCGGAGCUAAUACCGGAUAGUUCAUCGGACCGCAUGGUCCGUUGAUGAAAGGCGCUCCGGCGUCACCUUGAGAUGGCCUUGCGGUUGAUUGGGUAGUUGGGGGGGUAACGGGCCACCAAGGCGACGGGUGAUUGGCGAACGCGGGGGGUGGUCGGCCCACACUGGGCUAGAGAACGGGCCAACAUCCUUCGGGGAGGAGGCAGAGGGAAACUUUCCCAAUAGGACGAAGUCUGAUGGGAGAACGCCGGGUUGGUUGAGAAGGUUUUCGGAAUGUAAAACUUUGUUUGAAGGGAAAAAACAGUUACAGGGGGAAAGCUUGGAACGUGGCCGUACCUUAACAAGAAGGCCCGGCCAAACAAGUUCCAACCGCCCCCGUAA